rnacentral:rRNA from 1 species
AUUGAACGCUGGCGGUAUGCUUAACACAUGCAAGUCGAACGGUAGCAGGCCUUCGGGCGCUGACGAGUGGCGGACGGGUGAGUAAUGCAUAGGAAUCUGCCUAUUAGUGGGGGACAACGUGGGGAAACUCACGCUAAUACCGCAUACGUCCUACGGGAGAAAGCUGGGGACCUUCGGGCCUGGCGCUAAUAGAUGAGCCUAUGUCGGAUUAGCUAGUUGGUAGGGUAAAAGCCUACCAAGGCGACGAUCCGUAGCUGGUCUGAGAGGAUGAUCAGCCACACUGGGACUGAGACACGGCCCAGACUCCUACGGGAGGCAGCAUUGGGGAAUAUUGGACAAUGGGCGAAAGCCUGAUCCAGCAAUACCGCGUGUGUGAAGAAGGCCUGAGGGUUGUAAAGCACUUUCAAUGGGAAGGAAUACCUGCCGGUUAAUACCCGGUAGACUGACAUUACCCAUACAAGAAGCACCGGCUAACUCCGUGCCAGCAGCCGCAGUAAAAC